UCAAGAGUUCAUCUCAGGAGACAAGGACUGUGCCGAGUGUCGCCUCCUGCCUGGAGUGACCCUGACCCUGGGCGGGGACCCCUGGGCCUGCCGUCAGCCAGCAGAGAGAGGGAGCUGCACCAGCCUCUCACAUGAGCAGGAGCACCUAUGGAGCACCUGCUGCAUGCAGUGGGAGCAGGGAGAGAGGAGAUCUCUCGUAAUGCAGCCAGGUGGUGUCCGGGGGACUGAGGCCCACCAGCGCCUCCACCUUUUCCCGGCCUGACGGCGAAUUCCGGUGCUGCUUCCUCAGCCCUGGCUCAGAUGCCACCCUGCCGCUGCAGGAUCUGCCUUCUGCUCUGCAUCCUGGCUCUGUCAUCAGCAGCCCUGGUCUCAAGGGGAGGCCCUCUGGGCGCACCGGCUCCCGCGUGUCUCAGAGGCUAUGCAGACAGGAGUCCCUGGACUGGGCUGUGUUAGCUGGGGCUCCUUCCCUCCAGCAAUGAGUCCCCAGAUCGUCUCCCUCGUGUGCCUCAGUUCUCAAAGGUCCCGGCAGCCCCUCUGUGCCAGGCAGUGGCCCUGCGCCAGCAGCCUCCUCCCACAGCCCAGGAGCUGGAGGAAACAGCUCAGCCAAGCCCUGCCGCCAGCUAGAGCCCGGACUCCCUCCUUGACAUUCAGAGCUGCUGAGUUUUCCUGCGCACGGCCCAGGCGUCCGCCUGACGCAUGUCCACCAUGUUCACCUUGGCUGUGUCACACGUGAGAAGACUGAGGCUCAGUGAGGGCCCAGCAGAGCAGGUGGAGCUGGUCAGCCCGGCUGUGCCCUGACAUGUGGGGGUGGGGGGUGUGGAAUCUUAAUGAGGGAAAAGGAGUUGGGCUGGCAGGACUGAGGGAAGGCAAAAAGAAGAAGCAAAGAAGCUUUAAGUCUGCCCUUCUUCAUUGUCCAGGACACACAGCCCUCCUGCAGAAAUAACUUACAGUCUUCCUGCGCCCGGCUAUCACCAGACCCUUGGCUGAUAGGAGAAUGGAUGUUAGCUGAGUGCAACCUUGGCGUUAUCAGCACUGCCCGUGGCCCUCUCUGGCACACAGCACAGGCACCGUCCUAUAACAUUCCCAGCAAGCCCUCAUCUCUUUGCAGCGGCUCCUCUCUUGCUGACCUGCCGGUUGCUUCCGUGCUAUGCACUUUUCCUACUUUCUCUAAUAAAUCUGCCUUUCUUUACGUA